UAACACCGGCGGCCCGAGUGGUAAUCACUUUUAUUGGGUCUAAAGGGUCCGUAGCCGGUUUGAUCAGUUCUUCGGGAAAUCUGACAGCUCAACUGUUAGGCUUCCGGGGAAUACUGUCAGACUUGGGACCGGGAGAGGUAAGAGGUACUACAGGGGUAGGAGUGAAAUCUUGUAAUCCCUGUGGGACCACCAGUGGCGAAGGCGUCUUACCAGAACGGGUCCGACGGUGAGGGACGAAAGCUGGGGGCACGAACCGGAUUAGAUACCCGGGUAGUCCCAGCCGUAAACGAUGUUCGCUAGGUGUCAGGGGCGGUGCGACCGCUUCUGGUGCCGUAGGGAAGCCGUGAAGCGAACCACCUGGGAAGUACGGCCGCAAGGCUG
rnacentral:rRNA from 1 species